rnacentral:rRNA from 1 species
GGGUUGUGAGGUUAAGCGACUAAGCGUACACGGUGGAUGCCCUGGCAGUCAGAGGCGAUGAAGGACGUGCUAAUCUGCGAUAAGCGUCGGUAAGGUGAUAUGAACCGUUAUAACCGGCGAUUUCCGAAUGGGGAAACCCAGUGUGAUUCGUCACACUAUCAUUAACUGAAUCCAUAGGUUAAUGAGGCGAACCGGGGGAACUGAAACAUCUAAGUACCCCGAGGAAAAGAAAUCAACCGAGAUUCCCCCAGUAGCGGCGAGCGAACGGGGAGCAGCCCAGAGCCUGAAUCAGUGUGUGUGUUAGUGGAAGCGUCUGGAAAGGCGCGCGAUACAGGGUGACAGCCCCGUACACAAAAAUGCACAUAUUGUGAGCUCGAUGAGUAGGGCGGGACACGUGGUAUCCUGUCUGAAUAUGGGGGGACCAUCCUCCAAGGCUAAAUACUCCUGACUGACCGAUAGUGAACCAGUACCGUGAGGGAAAGGCGAAAAGAACCCCGGCGAGGGGAGUGAAAAAGAACCUGAAACCGUGUACGUACAAGCAGUGGGAGCCUGCUUCGGCGUGUGACUGCGUACCUUUUGUAUAAUGGGUCAGCGACUUAUAUUCUGUAGCAAGGUUAACCGAAUAGGGGAGCCGAAGGGAAACCGAGUCUUAACUGGGCGUUAAGUUGCAGGGUAUAGACCCGAAACCCGGUGAUCUAGCCAUGGGCAGGUUGAAGGUUGGGUAACACUAACUGGAGGACCGAACCGACUAAUGUUGAAAAAUUAGCGGAUGACUUGUGGCUGGGGGUGAAAGGCCAAUCAAACCGGGAGAUAGCUGGUUCUCCCCGAAAGCUAUUUAGGUAGCGCCUCGUGAAUUCAUCUCCGGGGGUAGAGCACUGUUUCGGCAAGGGGGUCAUCCCGACUUACCAACCCGAUGCAAACUGCGAAUACCGGAGAAUGUUAUCACGGGAGACACACGGCGGGUGCUAACGUCCGUCGUGAAGAGGGAAACAACCCAGACCGCCAGCUAAGGUCCCAAAGUCAUGGUUAAGUGGGAAACGAUGUGGGAAGGCCCAGACAGCCAGGAUGUUGGCUUAGAAGCAGCCAUCAUUUAAAGAAAGCGUAAUAGCUCACUGGUCGAGUCGGCCUGCGCGGAAGAUGUAACGGGGCUAAACCAUGCACCGAAGCUGCGGCAGCGACACUAUGUGUUGUUGGGUAGGGGAGCGUUCUGUAAGCCUGUGAAGGUGUACUGUGAGGUAUGCUGGAGGUAUCAGAAGUGCGAAUGCUGACAUAAGUAACGAUAAAGCGGGUGAAAAGCCCGCUCGCCGGAAGACCAAGGGUUCCUGUCCAACGUUAAUCGGGGCAGGGUGAGUCGACCCCUAAGGCGAGGCCGAAAGGCGUAGUCGAUGGGAAACAGGUUAAUAUUCCUGUACUUGGUGUUACUGCGAAGGGGGGACGGAGAAGGCUAUGUUGGCCGGGCGACGGUUGUCCCGGUUUAAGCGUGUAGGCUGGUUUUCCAGGCAAAUCCGGAAAAUCAAGGCUGAGGCSUGAUGACGAGGCACUACGGUGCUGAAGCAACAAAUGCCCUGCUUCCAGGAAAAGCCUCUAAGCAUCAGGUAACAUCAAAUCGUACCCCAAACCGACACAGGUGGUCAGGUAGAGAAUACCAAGGCGCUUGAGAGAACUCGGGUGAAGGAACUAGGCAAAAUGGUGCCGUAACUUCGGGAGAAGGCACGCUGAUAUGUAGGUGAAGUCCCUCGCGGAUGGAGCUGAAAUCAGUCGAAGAUACCAGCUGGCUGCAACUGUUUAUCAAAAACACAGGUCUCUGCAAAAUCGUAAGAUGAAGUAUAGGGGCUGACGCCUGCCCGGUGCUGGAAGGUUAAGAGGAGUGCUUAGCGCAAGCGAAGGUACGAAUUGAAGCCCCAGUAAACGGCGGCCGUAACUAUAACGGUCCUAAGGUAGCGAAAUUCCUUGUCGGGUAAGUUCCGACCCGCACGAAAGGCGUAACGAUUUGGGCACUGUCUCAACGAGAGACUCAGUGAAAUUGAACUCGCUGUGAAGAUGCAGUGUACCCGCGGCAAGACGGAAAGACCCCGUGAACCUUUACUAUAGCUUGACACUGAACAUUGAGCCUUGAUGUGUAGGAUAGGUGGGAGGCUUUGAAGUGUGGACGCCAGUCUGCAUGGAGCCGACCUUGAAAUACCACCCUUUAAUGUUUGAUGUUCUAACGUGGACCCGUGAUCCGGGUUGCGGACAGUGUCUGGUGGGUAGUUUGACUGGGGCGGUCUCCUCCUAAAGAGUAACGGAGGAGCACGAAGGUUGGCUAAUCCUGGUCGGACAUCAGGAGGUUAGUGCAAUGGCAUAAGCCAGCUUGACUGCGAGCGUGACGGCGCGAGCAGGUGCGAAAGCAGGUCAUAGUGAUCCGGUGGUUCUGAAUGGAAGGGCCAUCGCUCAACGGAUAAAAGGUACUCCGGGGAUAACAGGCUGAUACCGCCCAAGAGUUCAUAUCGACGGCGGUGUUUGGCACCUCGAUGUCGGCUCAUCACAUCCUGGGGCUGAAGUAGGUCCCAAGGGUAUGGCUGUUCGCCAUUUAAAGUGGUACGCGAGCUGGGUUUAGAACGUCGUGAGACAGUUCGGUCCCUAUCUGCCGUGGGCGCUGGAGAACUGAGGGGGGCUGCUCCUAGUACGAGAGGACCGGAGUGGACGCAUCACUGGUGUUCGGGUUGUCAUGCCAAUGGCACUGCCCGGUAGCUAAAUGCGGAAGAGAUAAGUGCUGAAAGCAUCUAAGCACGAAACUUGCCCCGAGAUGAGUUCUCCCUGACCCUUUAAGGGUCCUGAAGGAACGUUGAAGACGACGACGUUGAUAGGCCGGGUGUGUAAGCGCAGCGAUGCGUUGAGCUAACCGGUACUAAUGAACCGUGAGGCUUAACCUUACAACGCCGAAGCUGUU